rnacentral:rRNA from 1 species
GACGAACGCUGGCGGCGUGCCUAACACAUGCAAGUCGAGCGGGGAGGAGGAAGCUUGCUUCCGAAUCCUAGCGGCGGACGGGUGAGUAACGCGUGAGCAACCUGCCUCAAACAGGGGGAUAACGCAUCGAAAGAUGUGCUAAUACCGCGUAAGACCACAGCACCGCAUGGUGCAGAGGUCAAAGGAGCAAUCCGGUUUGAGAUGGGCUCGCGUCCGAUUAGCUAGUUGGUGAGAUAACGGCCCACCAAGGCGACGAUCGGUAGCCGACCUGAGAGGGUGUACGGCCACAUUGGGACUGAGAUACGGCCCAGACUCCUACGGGAGGCAGCAAUGGGGAAUAUUGGGCAAUGGAGGAAACUCUGACCCAGCGACGCCGCGUGAGCGAAGAAGGUCUUCGGAUUGUAAACCUUAGUCAACAGGGAAGAAGCAAGUGACGGUACCUGUGGAGGAAGCCACGGCUAACUACGUG